rnacentral:rRNA from 1 species
CCUACGGGGGGCAGCAGUGAGGAAUAUUGGUCAAUGGACGAGAGUCUGAACCAGCCAAGUAGCGUGAAGGAUGACUGCCCUAUGGGUUGUAAGCUUCUUUUAUAUGGGAAUAAAAUGUUCCACGUGUGGGAUUUUGUAUGUACCAUAUGCAUAAGGAUCGGCUAACUACGUGCCAGCAGCCGCGGUAAUACGGAGGAUCCGAGCGUUAUCCGGAUUUAUUGGGUGUAAAGGGACCGUAGGUGGAUUGUUAAGUCAGUUGUGAAAGUUUGCGGCUCAACCGUAAAAUUGCAGUUGAAACUGGCAGUCUUGAGUACAGUAGAGGUGGGCGGAAUUCGUGGUGUAGCGGUGAAAUGCUUAGAUAUUACGAAGAACUCCGAUUGCGAAGGCAGUUCACUGGACUGUAACUGACAUUGAGGCUCGAAAGUGUGGGUAUCAAACAGGAUUAGAUACCCUUGUAGUC